AAGCGGUAAGGCACCGGAUUCUGAUUCCGGCAUUCCGAGGUUCGAAUCCUCGUACCCCAGCCA
rnacentral:tRNA from 1 species